GCACCCGCCGCCCGAAGCCGGACUGGGACCCGAGAUUGUACUAGCAGCUCCUGGUCUGAAGAUUCCCCGGGGCACCAGGAAAGACGUCCUCUAGGAGUAGAUCAGGCUAGAGACGAGGGUGAGAGUUCAGCGGGGGGAAGUUGGAAGUUCCCCGAAGCAAAACGGGAUGGAGGUGGCAGGGGAGGAGUAAUCUUCCCCAUAGGAGGCGGGUAGUAGAUAGGUCUCAGGAGCGACAGAGUUGCUCAGGGAGAACUAGUAGUGGUCUUGUAGAAACUGGCCAGGACAGAUACCAGAAAUUAACAGUGGUGUCACUAAUGGAUUCUAAGGUCUUCAGAAAAAGAAGAGAUUUCAGCUUCAUAAGUAAUACAAAGAUGCCAUCUAGGACCAGAGAAAAAGUCCUAAUUGCAAGAUUUGGGAUUUAAGCAACUUCUUCCAAAGAAGAGUACCAGUGGAGCUGCUGCUGCAGCCCAAGAUCUUGAUCCAUAUCUGUAGACUGGAAUAUUGGUGGGGCAGCAAUCCACAGACACCUCACUUGGAUAGGUAAGUGAAAGAGAUAGUUGAGGGUAAGAAAACAACUUCUUCAAAGAAGAGUACCAGUGGAGCUGCUGCUGCAGCCCAAGAUCUUGAUCCAUAUCUGUAGACUGGAAUAUUGGUGGGGCAGCAAUCCACAGACACCUCACUUGGAUAGGUAAGUGAAAGAGAUAGUUGAGGGUAAGAAAAGUAUGUUGAGUGUUCUUUCUGUUUUUUACUUGGAUAAAAAAUAGGUGACUACCUUAAAAAAUUAAAUCCUUUAUCUUGGUAAAAACAAAACAUUUGUAAUCUUGAAUGGGGCAA
rnacentral:lncRNA from 1 species